GGAUAACCCUGAUUUCCAUAUGCAGAUUUAUCUGCACUGACAGCCCCCUCUCCCUCUCUUAGUCUUUCUGUUUCCUCUCUCCCUCCCUCUCUCUCCCUCUUUCUCUUCCCCUCUCUUUCUCUUCCUCUCUGUCUUUUUGUCUCUCUUUAUGUCUAUUGCAUUAUGCUUGAAUAAUUUUCAGCUGGGGUUUUUUUUUUCUCUCCUCUUGCACAUGCUAAAAUAACUAGACAAAGAUGCAAGGUGGUUGCUGCAGUCCCUGUCUCUAGGACAAAACCAAGAAAGCUCGGGUUUGCAAUGCCACCUUUCCUUUUUUUUUUUUUUUCUUUCUUUUUUUUUUCCCCCACCCAUGCUCGGUGAUUAAACUUACCCAGGAUGGGGAAGAAAAAGGAGCUGGAAAUGAGAUAAGGUUAAGGAAAAAGCCCAUUGCAGCAGCUGCAGCCAGUGGUGUCUGCUGCCAGAUGUGCUAAGGUUCCUGGGGUCCUUGACACUAAAAGGCAGUAUUAAAAUAUUUGGAGACAAAAGCUGCAUCUUCAGUGCUCAUUUUCUUUAUUUAACAUGGCAGCAAGCACCGUGUGGGGGAAAAUCAACACGCUGGAUGUUGAAUUGGACUUUUCUCCGUUCUAGGAUGAAAGGAUGUUAUCUAUCCCGUGCCAAGAGGGAACUAAGGUGCAGGGGGAGGGGAAGAAAGUCUUCCAAACUAGCCCGCCAUGAGCAAUGAACAUAUGGCUGUUACUAUCAGCACUAGUGUAUUUGCGGCGAUGCCUAUCAACAUCCACCAGAGAGCAGGGCAGCUCCAAAACCCACAUCUUUUAUGCUGUGGAAAUUGAUGGAGACAGCAACACAGCCAGCUUCUUGGCCAAACAACAUGGAAUGCAGUUCAUUUCAAAGGUGAAACGGGUGAAUAUCAGACAGCUCAUUAUAGAGACAAGCAUGCUGCAUUCCCCGAGUAGGAUGACAGAACAAGUCAUGGGAUCUGGGAAACAUCCUGCCUCCCCUAGGCCCAGGGGCCGUGGAAGAGCAGCAUCACCAGUGUCCAUGGGCAGGAUGAACAAACUGGCUGUGCUCCUUGCAGUUGCUCCUACUGCUGAAGAGGAAACUGUAUCUGAGCUUUUUCACUCGCUCUCUGGUCCCUGUGCUGAAGCUGCUUCAAACAGCUGUCUGUGUAUGUGCUCCACAAUUUGGGCACUAUUUUUGGAGUCUUAUGUGCCUUGGAAUGAAAUGUCCCUGUUCUGCUCAGCUCCCAAAGGCAUUCCCAUUGAGAGCAAAAGAGAUGUCACCUGUGGGCCCUCCUGCCUUUUGCUGAGGAAUCAAAGUCAACCACCUCCUGCAACAGCCCAUGGGGCAGGUAUGCCAUCAUUCCCCGUGCACUGUCAGGUACCAGCACCCAACAAAUAUGACUCCAACACAGCCAGAUGACAGGGUCUGCAGAGGUCUUCUGAUCUGAAUGGGAGAGUGCAUUUUACUUCAUCUGUAUGUGCUUGGAGAAUAACACAUCAAAAUUCUUCUUGAAAAGUAUGGCCAAGUUAGGUCUGUCCACGGUUCCCCACUAUGCUCUUUCCAGUGUAUGGAUCAACAUCAAAUGCAUUGUAGUUUUGGCAAAUAAUUUCUCCCACUCUUCCCUUUCUCUUCCCCCUCCCCUCCCAGCUGACACACAGUGACUAUAGGGGGCAAUGCAACCUCAUCAUACAGCCUGUGUACAUCAGCUACAUACCACAUUAAUAGGCGGAAACUUUAAAGUCUUCGUUUUUACUUCUUGCUUUUGAGCAAUUUGUACCAUGGUAAGCUGUAUUGUUAUUUGGGCCCCAUAAAAUGAGACAUUUUAACUUCAGAUAAGCUUUUACCAGUUACAUUUUUUUGAUUGUUUGUAAAUGAAAGUUAAUAAAGAGUGAUUUCAUUUCA
rnacentral:lncRNA from 1 species